AGCAGCCGCGGUAAUUCCAGCUCCAAUAGCGUAUAUUAAAGUUGUUGCAGUUAAAAAGCUCGUAGUUGAAUUUCGGGAUCAAGUCGUCGGUCGUGCCUCGGUACGCACUGGUGACAUUGGUUUCUCCCUUCUGAAGAACCUUGAUGUCAUUAAUUUGGUGUCUUGGGGAAUCAGGACUGUUACUUUGAAAAAUUAGAGUGUUUAAAGCAGGCUCACGCUUGAAUACAUUAGCAUGGAAUAAUGAAAUAGGACGUUUGAUUCUAUUUUGUUGGUUUCUAGGAUCGACGUAAUGAUUAAUAGGGAUAGUUGGGGGCAUUAGUAUUCAAUUGUCAGAGGUGAAAUUCUUGGAUUUAUUGAAGACUAACUACUGCGAAAGCAUUUGCCAAGGAUGUUUUCAUUAAUCAAGAACGAAAGUUAGGGGAUCGAAGACGAUCAGAUACCGUCGUAGUCUUAACCAUAAACUAUGCCGACUAGGGAUCGGAUGAUGUUAAUUUUUUAAUGACUCAUUCGGCGCCUUAAC
rnacentral:rRNA from 1 species